GUCGAGAAUCUUUCACAAUGGGGGCAAACCUGAUGGAGCGACGCCGCGUGGAGGAUAAGGUCUUCGGAUUGUAAACUCCUGUCAUGCGUGAACAAGGUUGCUUGGUUAAUACCUGGGCAAAUUGAUGGUAACGCAAGAGGAAGAGACGGCUAACUCUGUGCCAGCAGCCGCUGUAAUACCGAGGUCUCAAGCGUUGUUCGGAAUCACUGGGCGUAAAGGGUGCGUAGGUGGCGUGGUAAGUCAGAGGUGAAAGCCCGGGGGUCAACCUCGGAACUGCAGCCGAUACUGCCAUGCUAGAGUACUGGAGAGGUGACUAGAAUUCUCGGUGUAGCAGUGAAAUGCGUAGAUAUCGAGAGGAAUACCAAAGGUGUAGGCAGGUCACUGGACAGUUACUGACACUGAGGCACGAAGGCCAGGGGAGCGAACGGGAUUAGAUACCCUAGUAGUCC
rnacentral:rRNA from 1 species